rnacentral:rRNA from 1 species
AGGACGAACGCUGGCGGCACGCCUAACACAUGCAAGUCGAGCGGAGAUUGAGAGCUUGCUCUCAUGAUCAGCGGCGGACGGGUGAGUAACACGUGAGCAACCUGCCUUUCAGAGGGGGACAACAGUUGGAAACGACUGCUAAUACCGCAUAAUAUUGCCGGCCGGCAUCGGCUGGCAAUCAAAGGAGCAAUCCGCUGAAAGAUGGGCUCGCGUCUGAUUAGAUAGUUGGUGAGGUAACGGCCCACCAAGUCGACGAUCAGUAGCCGGACUGAGAGGUUGAUCGGCCACAUUGGGACUGAGACACGGCCCAGACUCCUACGGGAGGCAGCAGUGGGGGAUAUUGGACAAUGGGGGAAACCCUGAUCCAGCGAUGCCGCGUGAGGGAAGAAGGUUUUCGGAUUGUAAACCUCUGUGGACAGGGACGAUAAUGACGGUACCUGUUUAGAAAGCCACGGCUAACUACGUG